UACGGGAGGCAGCAGUGGGGAAUAUUGCGCAAUGGGCGAAAGCCUGACGCAGCGACGCCGCGUGGGGGAGGAAGGCCUCAGGGUUGUAAACCCCUGUCAGGUGGGACGAACCCCGAAUCGAGUAAUACACGGUUCGAUUGACGGUACCACCAGAGGAAGCUCCGGCUAACUCCGUGCCAGCAGCCGCGGUAAU
rnacentral:rRNA from 1 species